CUUUGGUCAUAUCCUGUUCUUGUACUUGAAUUUGAUGAAAAUAAUGGAAAUUGUAUGUGCAAUAUAAACAUCAGAAUUAUACUAAAUGGAAAUGUGGAUCAUUCAUAAGAUUUCCAAUGGUAAAAAUUUCAACUACUGACUUUAAUCUUCUUACCAGGAUUCAGCUCUAGUCCUAGGCAGAAGCCUCUGAAUUAUAUUCUUCAUUGUGUUUCUUGUUAGUUCACCUCAUAAGAAG
rnacentral:misc_RNA from 1 species